rnacentral:rRNA from 1 species
UACAGAGGUCUCAAGCGUUGUUCGGAUUCAUUGGGUACGGUAAGGGUGCGUAGGCGGCGCGGUAAGUCGGGUGUGAAAGUCUCCGGAGCUUAACUCCGAAACUGCAUUCGAUACUGCCGUGCUUGAGGACUGGAGAGGAGACUGGAAUUUACGGUGUAGCGGUGAAAUGCGUAGAUAUCGUAAGGAAGACCAGUGGCGAAGGCGGGUCUCUGGACAGUUCCUGACGCUGAGGCACGAAGGUCGGGGAGCAAACGGG